rnacentral:rRNA from 1 species
GACGAACGCUGGCGGCGUGCUUAACACAUGCAAGUCGAACGGAAAGGCCCUGCCUUUGUGGGGUGCUCGAGUGGCGAACGGGUGAGUAACACGUGAGUAACCUGCCCUUGACUUUGGGAUAACUUCAGGAAACUGGGGCUAAUACCGGAUAGGAGCUCCUGCUGCAGGGUGGGGGUUGGAAAGUUUCGGCGGUUGGGGAUGGACUCGCGGCUUAUCAGCUUGUUGGUGGGGUAGUGGCUUACCAAGGCUUUGACGGGUAGCCGGCCUGAGAGGGUGACCGGCCACAUUGGGACUGAGAUACGGCCCAGACUCCUACGGGAGGCAGCAGUGGGGAAUAUUGCACAAUGGGCGGAAGCCUGAUGCAGCAACGCCGCGUGCGGGAUGACGGCCUUCGGGUUGUAAACCGCUUUCGCCUGUGACGAAGCGUGAGUGACGGUAAUGGGUAAAGAAGCACCGGCUAACUACGUG